rnacentral:rRNA from 1 species
ACCUCCAAUCGUGUAUAUUAAAGUUGUUGCAGUUAAAAAGCUCGUAGUUGAAUUUCUGAUAGAAGGGAGCGGUUCCGCAUUCUUGCGGAUACUUGCUCGUCUUCCGUCAUCCUUGGGCUUAGUCUUGCUGAUAUUAACUUAUUGGCGUGUACGAUGCCCAUCGUUUACUGUGAGCAAAUUAGAGUGUUCAAAGCAGCAUAUGCCGUUGAAUAUAUUAGCAUGGAAUAAUAAGAUAGGACUUUUCGACUAUUUUGUUGGGUUGCGUUGUGAAGUAAUGAUUAAGAGGGACAGUUGUGGGUAUUCGUAUUCAGAUGUCAGAGGUGAAAUUCUUAGAUUAUCGGAAGAUGAACUACUGCGAAAGCAUUUACCAAGGAUGUUU